rnacentral:rRNA from 1 species
AGCGAACGCUGGCGGCAGGCCUAACACAUGCAAGUCGAACGAACUCUUCGGAGUUAGUGGCGGACGGGUGAGUAACACGUGGGAACGUGCCUUUAGGUUCGGAAUAACUCAGGGAAACUUGUGCUAAUACCGAAUGUGCCCUUCGGGGGAAAGAUUUAUCGCCUUUAGAGCGGCCCGCGUCUGAUUAGUUAGUUGGUGAGGUAAAGGCUCACCAAGGCGACGAUCAGUAGCUGGUCUGAGAGGAUGAUCAGCCACAUUGGGACUGAGACACGGCCCAAACUCCUACGGGAGGCGGCAGUGGGGAAUCUUGCGCAAUGGGCGAAAGCCUGACGCAGCCAUGCCGCGUGAAUGAUGAAGGUCUUAGGAUUGUAAAAUUCUUUCACCGGGGACGAUAAUGACGGUACCCGGAGAAGAAGCCCCGGCUAACUUCGUGCCAGCAGCCGCCGUAA